rnacentral:miRNA from 1 species
CAAGCUCGAACUUUUCCUGCGC